rnacentral:lncRNA from 1 species
AGUCAAGAGAGAAGCUUCCGAGGGAAAGUAGCCCUUAACUAUGGAUAAGGAACGUUUGCAUUUUAGUGAAGUGGAUGGCCCAAAGCCAUGCUUUCUCUGCCUUCAGGUUUGAAAUUCUCAACAUUUACAAAGAUAUUGGGGGCAAAAGUUAUCUCCUCCUCUGAUUAUCAAUGAGUAGUUUCUCUGAAUUCAUAGUCCACAGGAAAAUCUCAAAUGACUUUGACAAAAUCACCUGAGAAGGGUGAAUAAAGAAGGGUGACUGAAGACACGCCACAGCCCACACUCCCCCACACCAAGUCACUAGAAAUGACAGAAAAUAAUUUUAAAUAAGUGAAUUGGAAACAGUGAAGGUAAAUAAAGAAAGGCAGCAUCUAGCCAGAAAUAAUGAGCCAUUCCUGAAAGACAGAAGACAGAUCAAAUCAGAGUAAUGAAUACAAAUCACAUCCAGGAGAGGCAGUUGCAUGGAGUGGGGAUGACUCCUUAAAUCAGAUGAAGAGGAUAUUGGGAGCUUGUGCAGACCAGGGUGGUUCUGGGCCACGAUCAGAGCUGGUGGGACAUCACAGUAGGACCGUCAGGCAGGUGCUCUCAUUCACACGCACACAAACACACAUGCACACAAACACAUGCACACAAACACA